CGAGCAUGAGUCUGAUUGGGAAAUAUACAAAGAUUAUCAGGCAGUACUGAGAGCCCGGGAGAGGUGAUGACUCUAAGUUUAUAAUGGUACCAAUCUUCUCAGUGAUGUAAUUUUCUCCAGCAAGUCUUAUCAAGCAGAAUAAUGGCAUAGACGUUGGAUUCAUCCAGGAAUGAUGACUUGCCAGGAUGGUGUGAUGAAAAGAACAGACGCCAGAACCAUUGGCAGGAGCGUUGCCGAAAUGAUAGUCAAGGUAAUUUACCACCAAAACCACGGAGGGGAAACUAGAAGAGGCUGGAGAAUAAGAAGUAUGCAAAACAACCAGCUGAUCAGAGAGCCAAGGUCAUUCUUGCUCCUUCCAUUCUACCAGAUGAGCCACAAAAAAGGACACAUCGACAAAGCAGCCAUGAUAGGGAAUUUAUCUGAACUUCAAGUAUCACAAACAGACCCUGUUUCCGAAGACAAGCUUCACUGGGAACUCGAAUAUGUAUAGGAAGCUGUCCAGUUUUCCCAGCACCAGCACUUUAUUGAAGAGACUGUCUUUCCAACGUUGGAUAAUUUUAUAUGCAACAUUAUCAAGUACCCCUGAUAAAGGAGAAUUUCCAUUUUGAUUAGAUGAUGAAAAAGGUACACAGUUCUCACCACUGAAAUGCAGCUGGAUGACAGCUGGGAAUUUGGGUCUCCUUAUGAAGGUGACUCUCUGACUCCUCAUUUUCCUUUUUCCUGCUGGAAGUGUGUUCAGGGGAAUGAUGAUGUUUCUCCACCCAACCUGAUAAGCAGGGGAAUUUGCCCCACUCUUCUCUGAAGAGCAACAUACAGUUUCAGGCAUGUGAGAUCUUAAUUUGCCCACCGGGGAUCAAACCUGCACCCCCUGCAUAGGAAGCUGAAGUCUAAACCACUGGACCACCAGGGAAGUCCCAUAACAGUAGUUUCUAUCACUUGUCUUUGGUGAAGCAUUCUAAAACAUUCAAUUUAGUUUCUCUAGAAAUAGUUUCUUUGCAAACUUAUCUGCUAUCUCUUUAUGAAAUGUUUAAUUGUUACAUCAUUAAAAUAAUAACUGCAACUGACAUAAGUUUCAGAAC